rnacentral:rRNA from 1 species
AUUGAACGCUGGAGGAAGGCCUAACACAUGCAAGUCGAACGAGUGGCGGACGGGUGAGUAAUGUCUGGGACACUGCCCGACGGAGGGGGAUAACUACUGGAAACGGUAGUUAAUACCGCAUACAAACGGAUGUGCCCAGAUGGGAUUAGCUUGUAGGUGAGGUAACGGCUCACCUAGGCGACGCUCCCUAGCUGGUCUGAGAGGAUGACCAGCCACACUGGAACUGAACCACGGUCCAGACUCCUACGUGAGGCAGCAGUGGGGAAUAUUGCACAAUGGGCGAAAGCCUGAUGCAGCCAUGCCGCGUGUAUGAAGAAGGCCUUCGGGUUGUAAAGUACUUUCAGCGGGGAGGCGUUACCCGCAGAAGAAGCACCGGCUAACUCCGUGCCAGCAGCCGCGGUAAUAC